rnacentral:rRNA from 1 species
CCUACGGGAGGCUGCAGUGAGGAAUAUUGGUCAAUGGGCGCGAGCCUGAACCAGCCAAGUAGCGUGAAGGAUGACUGCCCUACGGGUUGUAAACUUCUUUUAUAAAGGAAUAAAGUGAGGCACGUGUGCCUUUUUGUAUGUACUUUAUGAAUAAGGAUCGGCUAACUCCGUGCCAGCAGCCGCGGUAAUACGGAGGAUCCGAGCGUUAUCCGGAUUUAUUGGGUUUAAAGGGAGCGUAGAUGGGUUGUUAAGUCAGUUGUGAAAGUUUGCGGCUCAACCGUAAAAUUGCAAUUGAUACUGGCAGCCUUGAGUACAGUUGAGGUAGGCGGAAUUCGUGGUGUAGCGGUGAAAUGCUUAGAUAUCACGAAGAACUCCGAUUGCGAAGGCAGCUUACUAAACUGCCACUGACAUUGAUGCUCGAAAGUGUGGGUAUCGAACAGGAUUAGAUACCCUAGUAGUC